AAAGAGAUAGUUUAUUAAAAAUUUGGACUUUGGGAGUCUGGGAUGUUGGAGUUAGCCAAUUCUCUUUA
rnacentral:tRNA from 1 species